AUUGAACGCUGGCGGCAUGCCUUACACAUGCAAGUCGAGCGGCAGCGCGGGGGCAACCCUCGCGGCGAGCGGCGAACGGGUGAGUAAUGCAUCGGAACGUGUCCUCUUGUGGGGAGUAACCAGUCGAAAGACUGGCUAAUACCGCAUGAGCUCGUAAGAGGAAAGCGGGGGAUCCGUAAGGACCUCGCGCGAGAGGAGCGGCCGAUGCCCGAUUAGCUAGNGGUUGGGGUAAAGCCUACCAAGGCGACGAUCGGUAGCUGGUCUGAGAGGACGACCAGCCACACUGGGACUGAGACACGGCCCAGGCUCCUACGGGAGCAGCAGUGGGAAUUUGGACAAUGGGGCACCCUGAUCCAGCCAUGCCGCGUGUGUGAAGAAGG
rnacentral:rRNA from 1 species